rnacentral:sRNA from 1 species
CACCUUGUUGAUGUUCUUAGCACAGAC